GUUGAGCGGCCGGAGCAGAGCGGGCCCAUGGGCAUGAGCAGGCGAUGCUGGAGUGCGACGUGCCGAGCAUCGGCAUGCGCAGGAGGAGUUGCGGUGGAAAGCUGUUGCGCGAGAUGCAGGAACGCGAUGGCUGUAUCAAGGACGCAGCUCAGGUGUUCGACGAAAUGCUGAUACGCGUGGUGCUGGAGAACGCGAGGGCCCUGCUGUUGGGCGAGGCGUCAAGGGUGCAAGACACCGUCGGGCGGAUGUUGCGAUGGUGUGCAGAGCAACGGUGUGCAGAUGCAGCGCGACAAGGCCGAGGCAACGCGGGUCCAGCAGAUGAGGAGGAAGAGGAGCAGCAGCACGAGGUGGUCGAGGAGGAAACAGCGGCGCGGAUUUGACAGCAGCUGGUCCG
rnacentral:lncRNA from 1 species